rnacentral:rRNA from 1 species
CAAGCGGUGGAGCAUGUGGUUUAAUUCGAUGCAACGCGAAGAACCUUACCUACUCUUGACAUCCACGGAAUUUUGCAGAGAUGCUUUAGUGCCUUCGGGAACCGUGAGACAGGUGCUGCAUGGCUGUCGUCAGCUCGUGUUGUGAAAUGUUGGGUUAAGUCCCGCAACGAGCGCAACCCUUAUCCUUUGUUGCCAGCGAUACGGUCGGGGACUCAAAGGAGACUGCCGGUGAUAAACCGGAGGAAGGUGGGGAUGACGUCAAGUCAUCAUGGCCCUUACGAGUAGGGCUACACACGUGCUACAAUGGCGCAUACAAAGAGAAGCGACCUCGCGAGAGCAAGCGGACCUCAUAAAGUGCGUCGUAGUCCGGAUCGGAGUCUGCAACUCGACUCCGUGAAGUCGGAAUCGCUAGUAAUCGUGGAUCAGAAUGCCACGGUGAAUACGUUCCCGGGCCUUGUACACACC